rnacentral:rRNA from 1 species
GAGAGAGCCCGCGAGGGACUCGAAACCAUCGCGAAACGUACCCCGUCGCCGUUGCUUCGGCGGGCGGCCCCCCCCCGCCUCGGGGGGGGCGCCCCCGCCGGAGGGACGCGGUAACACCAUCUUCUUAGCGUCUCUUCUGAGUGGACCGGCGAAAUAAGUCAAAACUUUCAACAACGGAUCUCUUGGUUCUGGCAUCGAUGAAGAACGCAGCGAAAUGCGAUAAGUAAUGUGAAUUGCAGAAUUCAGUGAACCAUCGAAUCUUUGAACGCACAUUGCGCCCGCCAGCACUCUGGCGGGCAUGCCUGUCCGAGCGUCAUUUCGACCCCUCAAGCCCGGCUUGGUGCUGGGGCCCCUACGUGCGCCGUAGGCCCCGAAUUCCAGUGGCGGGCUCGCCGCGAUCCCGAGCGUAGUAGUGCUACGUCGCUCAGGGCGCGCGGCGGGCGCCGGCCGUGAAAGGAAACCCACACCCAAAGGUUGACCUCGGAUCAGGUAGGAAUACCCGCUGAACUUAAGCAUAUCAAUAAGCGGAGGAAAAGAAACCAACAGGGAUUGCCCCAGUAACGGCGAGUGAAGCGGCAACAGCUCAAAUUUGAAAUCUGGCCUCGGCCCGAGUUGUAAUUUGCAGAGGAUGCUUCCGGCGCGGCGCCCCCCGAGUCCCCUGGAACGGGGCGCCACAGAGGGUGAGAGCCCCGUAUGGUGGGACGCCAAGCCUGUGUGAAGCUCCUUCGACGAGUCGAGUAGUUUGGGAAUGCUGCUCAAAAUGGGAGGUAAAUUCCUUCUAAAGCUAAAUACCGGCCAGAGACCGAUAGCGCACAAGUAGAGUGAUCGAAAGAUGAAAAGCACUUUGAAAAGAGGGUCAAACAGCACGUGAAAUUGUUGAAAGGGAAGCGCUCGUGACCAGACUUGCGCCGGGCCGAUCAUCCGGUGUUCUCACCGGUGCACUCGGCCCGGCCCAGGCCAGCAUCGGUUCUCGCGGGGGGACAAAAGCUCCGGGGAACGUGGCUCCUCCGGGAGCGUUAUAGCC